CAGCCGUAAACUAUGCGCGUUAGGUGUAUCGGUGACCACGAGUUACCGAGGUGCCGAAGGGAAACCGUGAAACGUGCCGCCUGGGAAGUACGGUCGCAAGGCUGAAACUUAAAGGAAUUGGCGGGGGAGCACCACAACAGGUGGAGCCUGCGGUUUAAUUGGACUCAACGCCGGGAAGCUCACCGGAUAGGACAGCAGAAUGAUUGCCGGGCUGAAGACCCUGCAUGACUAGCUGAGAGGGAGUGCAUGGCGUCAGUGACU
rnacentral:rRNA from 1 species